rnacentral:tRNA from 1 species
GCCUUUUUAAUAUAAAAAGUAUAGUUGGCUUCCAACCAACCAGUCUAAAAAUUUUAGAAAAGGCA